rnacentral:rRNA from 1 species
GGCAGGCUUAAUACAUGCAAGUCGAACGGUAAGGUCUCUUCGGAGAUACACGAGUGGCGCACGGGUGAGGAACACGUACACAAUCUACCUUAUACAGGAGGAUAGCCCCGGGAAACUGGGAUUAAUACUCCAUAGUCUUCUAAGAUCGCAUGGUCUAAGAAGUAAAGCUCCGGCGGUAUAAGAUGAGUGUGCGUCCCAUUAGAUAGUUGGUGAGGUAACGGCUCACAAAGUCAACGAUGGGUAGCUGGCGUGAGAGCGCGACCAGCCACACUGGCACUGAGACACGGGCCAGACUCCUACGGGAGGCAGCAGUAGGGAAUAUUGGUCAAUGGGCGAAAGCCUGAACCAGCCAUGCCGCGUGAAGGAUGACGGCUCUCAGAGUUGUAAACUUCUUUUAUAUGGGAAGAACUCCCGGGAUUUACUCCCGGGUUGACGGUACCAUACGAAUAAGCACCGGCUAACUCCGUGCCAGCAGCCGCGGUAAUACGGAGGGUGCAAGCGUUAUCCGGAUUUACUGGGUUUAAAGGGUGCGCAGGCGGGAAAUUAAGUCAGAAGUGAAAUCCCCGAGCUCAACUUGGGAACUGCUUUUGAAACUGAUUUUCUUGAAUAUAGUUGAGGUAGGCGGAAUACAACAUGUAGCGGUGAAAUGCAUAGAUAUGUUGUAGAACACCAAUUGCGAAGGCAGCUUACUAAACUAUUAUUGACGCUGAGGCACGAAAGCGUGGG